GAUGAAGAACGUAGCGAAAUGCGAUACUUGGUGUGAAUUGCAGAAUCCCGUGAACCAUCGAGUCUUUGAACGCAAGUUGCGCCCGAAGCCAUUAGCCCGAGGGCACGCCUGCCUGGGCGUCACACGUCGUUGCCCCCCAUCUACUCCUUCGGGAUUGCGGGGGGCGGAUGAUGGCCUCCCGUGCGCCUCGUCGCGCGGUUGGCAUAAAUGCCAAGUCCUCGGCGACGCACGCCACGACAAUCGGUGGUUGCGAAACCUCGGUUGCCCGUCGUGUGCGGUCGUCGCGCAUCGAGGGCUCGAAAAAAUUGCCGGGCUCCGGCUCGGCUUUCAACGCGACCCCAGGUCAGGCGGGGUUACCCGCUGAAUUUAAGCAUAUCAAUAAGCGGAGGA
rnacentral:misc_RNA from 1 species